GCCCCAAUGUUAAAUGUAUGGAGACAUUUAGUCACUUUUGACCGAAGACACAACAAGUGUUAUUGUGCUGUAAAAUGAUUUUCAUGAUGAUUUUUUUUUUCAUGUAUAUUGCAAAUGUGUGCUGUUAAAUUGUUAAAUACAAAAAAUAGAUGUGGAUUUGGAUGCGUUCUAUUUAUGUUGAAAUAUUUUGUGAAUUUCCCUUAUUUUGAAUAAAACCGAGUGGUACAACAUUGUUAACUAGCUGCAAAUGAUACAGUACAUAAAGCAUUAUCAACGUUUAUGUCAGGCCAGCCAAUUCUGACCUGAACCACAACAAGUGUAACAGUUGUUGUUGCUGCUGUUGUUGUUGUUGUUGCUGCUGCUGUUGUUGUUGAUGUUGUUAUUGUAAUAUGUUUUUCUUUCUAUAAUCUGAUGUGAUUGUCAUACACAUGCUACUGUUUUAUGUAAAAUGCUUUAUAUAUCACUCUUGUAUUCAAUUUUUUCCAAAUAUGUUUUGGCAGUCAGUCGAGAAUCUGUGUGCAUAGAGUGCUGCUUGGGAGUACAAAGGUGUUGGGGAUUGGUGUCUUCAGUUUGGGGAUCCUACUAGUUGAGUAUUGGUGAACAAAUCUGAGGCACUCAGGAGGGUAAUACGUUCAGAACGCCUUUAAUAUCUCUUGGCUGUUUAGUCAAAGUAACAAUAAAAAAACAUGCUUAUGUGUUUCAGUCAUAAGAACCUUCAUAAGGGCAAGUCAAAAUGGCUGCCUUUGGGCUGUUUCUUAGAUGUUAACAAGUAGUCACAUGACUAGUAUGGACAGGUAAGUAGUCACAUAAUUAAUGUAGCCAGCUCAAGUCACAUGACAGAUCACAUCCAAACACACACACACUAUCAGAAUCAUCUUAAUGUCUUACUUAUGGCUAACAUCAUGUUCUGUCCUUCCUGUAUGUACCAGUUUGCCCUGAUGUAAGUCACUUUGGACAAAAGUGUCUGCCAAGGGCCUUGAACUUAAACUAAACUAUGAAAAGAUGAAGGUGCUCUUUCUCAUGUACGCAAUGUGUGUUUGCCUAGAGCAACACAACACCCAGGACCAACACUAUACAUGGUUAGAGAAAGAUGUGUGUGUGUGUGUGUGUGUGUGUGUGUGUGUGUGUGUGUGCUGGCAGAGAGAGACCAGAAACAACUAUUUAAAUACAUAAACAACAAAUACAGACAAUAACAAAUACAAACAACAAAGUCCUGUUUGAAAGCUGCAGUAACUCAGGAAAAUACAGUAUACAAUACAAAUGUAUUAUUGCACAUUAAACAUUAGAAACCUCAAUCAAUAAUCAAUGAAGUACCAAUAUACCAAUCAGACAAUAUACCAAUAUGUAUAUAACGAACAAAAUAGCAAUCCAUUUAUAAAUGACAUUUUAGCAUUGAGUCAUCUCUGAAUGAUAUCAGUCUAAAUAUAUAAUGCAAAUAAAGAAAUAAAAAAGUUCCCAAAGCAACAAAGCCUGGUUGUGUCCGUGCCUUCAGUCCUCAAACUCCCAGAUCUUUACUCAUUAGCAGACACGUAACACUCAGGGGUGUUACACCACACAGCACUACUCUUCAGCAGACACGUAACCCUGAGGGUGUUACACCACACAGCCGUUAGAGGUCUAGUCCAAAUGAGGAGGCGUGGCCACCAGCACUACUGUUCAGCAGAGUAGCAGUGGUGCGUUCACUACCACACAGCUCUGUGGAACCUCACUGGGGGGCAAUGACUAAAAAAAAUGAACAGCUCUGUGUAACCUGAGUGUGUCUCUGCUGCUCAUUUCAGUAGAGUAGGAAUGGUGCGUUCACUACCACUUCCGCUCUGUGUAACCUGAGUGUGUGUCUGCUGCUAGUUUCAGUAGAGUAGGAAUGGUGCAUUCACUACCACUUCCGCUCUGUGUAACCUGAGUGUGUAUCUGCUGCCAGAACUCAGGAGCACAUAUGGGGGAAAUAAGGAUUGUCUCUGUAUCUCCACUCUGUUGUUCCCAGCUUAGUGAACUACAGGCAGGAGGCAGGAUCACACCAGCAGGGCAUCUCAAUUCUCAUGAACUCCUGUACUGUGUGGUUUGGUUACAUCAUAAUUUCAUCAUGAUGGUACCCCUGAUUAACUACAUAAUUUCAUCAUGAUGGUACCCCUAAUUAACUACAUAAUUUCAUCAUGAUGGUGUAAGAUAAAUUUGAAUUAUCAAAUUUAUCUAAUCAUAUCACAUUUAACCAAAUGUAUCAAUGAAGUAUAAUCACAAGAAAAGGGCAGUCUGCCAACAAGUCAGAAAAACAGCAAGUAACAUCUGCAGGGGAAAUGUAAAGAGUCAGACAGGAGAAAGCAAGUUAAAACAAAGGCCCGGAAGAGGAGAGAAGCAUAUAAAUCUUAGGUGGUCAAGGCUGGGGCACAGACAAAAAUGUCCAGACAUACAUGUCAGCAGAUUAAAAGCAGAAGUUAAUCAUGUGUUAUAACAAAGUGCCGAGUGGAAGACAGUGUAUGUGGGAGGUGCAGGGGGCCAGAAGUGACAUCACAGAAUUAGGCCUUAAAAGUGGGAGCAUCCUCUGUUUAGACUCUAGAAUUCACAUUCUCCGGCUUGCUUGACUGUACUUGACUGUCUGUUGGGCAAGUUGUAUUGUGUCGUUACCUACCAGUAAAACUCAACCUUGUUACAACAAAUUGCUUCGUAUGGUGGUUCCUCUCCGAAACAACACGCAGUGUAUUUUAUCUCUAACAAUUAGUGACCCGACGCUGAGCUGAGGAGAGGUGGACCAGCCAAACCCUCACCUGGAGCCCGAGGCUCAGAGUGGGGCUUCAAGAUCUUUGGCGGCAGACAAAAAGCAGGCCUGCGAGAAAAAUAAGGUGAGGACAAACCUAUUUCAUUGAAUUGUCCAUAGAUUAGAAUAUUGAUUAGUUAGUUUUUGUCUGUCAACUUGGAUCUUGAAGGAAGCAGCAAGUGCGAGUGGAUGGUGGAUAGUGAUACAAAUCCACAAAGCCUUUGUGAAUUGUCAGUUUUAAAUAAGAAAAAGCAUUAGUAGGUACUGUAAAAGGCCUGACUACCUAAACAUUAGGUUUAGAGGGAGGAGGGAGAUUAGUAGGUCUGCAUAAUAGACCUGACUACCUAAACAUUAGGUUUAGAGGGAAGAGUGAGAGAUUAGUACGGACUGCGUAACAGACCAGAGUUCCUAAACGGGGGGUGAGCAUGGUUGACCCUUCCGCGUAGCAACUGAAGUAGAUAAUCGAAGUAGUGUCUGAGCUCGUUAGCCUACUCUUGACCUACAAUUUAGCCUACAUCCCAGAUGUGCUCACCCUCUGGGUUAGAGGUAAAGGAUAAGCGUGUAACGCGACCAAGCACGGUUAGCGCGUGUAAAGCGAGUAGCGCAAAUUUUUCAAAUGUAAAUAGGGCAAAGGCGUGUAAAUAGGAUAAAGGAGGGUAGAAUUGAGUGCAGAGAGACACACAGCUGGCACUGCGCCACGCACAGUUCUGUGUAUGAAUCAGGAGGAAGUUUGAAUUUUCAGACACCCGACUCCUGUCUUUAUACAGAACUAUAGGACAGAAGUGAAUAUUUGUAAGAGAUAGUCUUUCAAAAGAUAAGUGACUUGCAAAUAAAUAAUAGAAGUAAUACCCACAACUGUUGUGUUCAGCAAAAGUGUCAAAUUAAGAUCAGAAGUACUCAGAUGAUAGAUUAAAUCAGUGAUAUAGCACUGAUUUAACACUGAUAUAACACACCUUUGUUACGUCUGAAUGGGUAAGCUUUCGGUGGAUGCAAGAAUCCAACAAAAAUAAGCCGGAUUAGUGGAUCAUUCAGACGAACUCAGUGUGUUUAGUAAAACCUUGUUUGUGUAACUGCAAUUCCCUUCGGUGGGCUCAUGAACCCCUUGGCCGUACAGGAAACUGUAUUAAUAAGGCACCGGAUUGGCGAGGAGUGAUAAAAGCAGACAAGGUUCAGAAAACAAUUUAAAAAAAAAAAAAAAAAAAAAAAAAAGAAAGAGAGAAAAGAAAAUAGGGGGGAAGGGAUGAGGCCUAAUUGAUUAUAAAGGUCUAGUUCUGAUCAAAAAAGUUUCUAUAACAGGUUUUAAUUGGUUAUAAGGGCCUGUUUCUGAUAAAAACACAACUGUGGGACAAGCAUCUAUAUUUAGUCAACCAUAGAUGAACAUAGAGGAGUUAGAGAGGGAGUUAGAGUUAGAGAAUAAAACUCCAACAGCUAUCAGGGGUGAUUACAGAAUAAUAGCACCCAAGAGCCGUUGGUGGUUGGAUACAUUGUUAACUUACCCAGGCAAAACAGGGGCUGAGAUAAUAAGAAAACACGUAGUAGUGGUUGGAGCGAGUGCAGGGUACCUAAGAAGUCACUGCCCAUAUCAGGAGGAAAACAUAUUGGAGUGGUUAUCCUCGUUUGAGAAUCGUCUGAUCAAUCCACGAUAUUUAUUAGGAUUAUUUGACACAGUCUACGAAAAAUCAUUUCUCCCUCCAAAACAGGGAGGGAAAAAA
ensembl:lncRNA